GCAGUAGCCACGGGAAUACAGAGGGUGCAAGCGUUAAUCGGAAUUACUGGGCGUAAAGCGCGCGUAGGUGGUUUGUUAAGUUGGAUGUGAAAUCCCUGAGCUUAACUUAGGAAUUGCAUUCGAUACUGGGAAGCUAGAGUAUGGGAGAGGAUGGUAGAAUUCCAGGUGUAGCGGUGAAAUGCGUAGAGAUCUGGAGGAAUACCGAUGGCGAAGGCAGCCAUCUGGCCUAAUACUGACGCUGAGGUACGAAAGCAUGGGGAGCAAACAGGAUUAGAGACCCCAGUAGUCCCUGUCUCUUAUAC
rnacentral:rRNA from 1 species